AGAGCGAACGCUGGCGGCAGGCCUAACACAUGCAAGUCGAGCGGCCCGUAGCAAUACGGGAGCGGCAGACGGGAUAGUAACACGUGGGAACGCGCCCUUCGGUUCGGAAUAACUCAGGGAAACUUGAGCUAAUACCGAAUACGCCCUUACGGGGAAAGAUUUAUUGCCGAAGGAACGGCCCGCGUCCGAUUAGCUAGUUGGUGAGGUAAUGGCUCACCAAGGCUACGAUCGGUAGCUGGUCUGAGAGGAUGACCAGCAUCACUGGGACUGAGACACGGCCCAGACUCCUACGGGAGGCAGCAGUGGGGAAUAUUGGACAAUGGGCGCAAGCCUGAUCCAGCCAUGCCGCGUGGAUGAUGAAGGCCUUAGGGUUGUAAAGUCCUUUUAACGGGGAAGAUAAUGACGGUACCCGUAGAAUAAGCCCCGGCUAACUUCGUGCCAGCAGCCGC
rnacentral:rRNA from 1 species